CUUUUUGAUAUAUAGAAUUUAAGGUCGGUCCUGCCCACUGAAUGUUAAUUGAAGGGCUGCGGUAUUUUUGACCGUGCAAAGGUAGCAUAAUCAUUAGUAUUAUAAUUUAAUGCUAGUAUGAAUGGUUUGACGAAAUAGUUACUGUCUCUAGUAUAAAUAAUUGAAUUUUACUUUUAAGUUAAAAGGCUUAAAUAUUAAUAAGGGACGAGAAGACCCUAUAGAUCUUUAUAAUGAUUUUAUUAUUAUUUAUUUAGAUUUAUAUUUAUGUGUUAAUAAAGUUAUUAUUUUGUUGGGGUGACAUGAGAAUAUUAAAACUUCUUAAUUUUUAACUUUGAUAGAUGAAUAUAUGAUCCUAUAUUAUGGAAAUGAAGAUUAAGAUACCUUAGGGAUAACAGCGUAAUUUUGUUGGAAAGUUCUUAUUGAUAAUGAAGAUUGCGACCUCGAUGUU
rnacentral:rRNA from 1 species